GCCGGGGUAGCUCAGUGGCAGAGCAGCUGAUUCGUAAUCAGCAGGUCGCGGGUUCAAGUCCCGCCCCCGGCUCCA
rnacentral:tRNA from 1 species